GACGAACGCUGGCGGCGCGCCUAACACAUGCAAGUCGAACGAGAGAUGAGGAGCUUGCUCUUCAAAUCGAGUGGCGGACGGGUGAGUAACGCGUGAGGAACCUGCCUCAAAGAGGGGGACAACAGUUGGAAACGACUGCUAAUACCGCAUAAGCCCACGGCUCGGCAUCGAGCAGAGGGAAAAGGAGCAAUCCGCUUUGAGAUGGCCUCGCGUCCGAUUAGCUAGUUGGUGAGGUAACGGCCCACCAAGGCGACGAUCGGUAGCCGGACUGAGAGGUUGAACGGCCACAUUGGGACUGAGACACGGCCCAGACUCCUACGGGAGGCAGCAGUGGGGAAUAUUGCACAAUGGGGGAAACCCUGAUGCAGCGACGCCGCGUGGAGGAAGAAGGUCUUCGGAUUGUAAACUCCUGUUGUUGAGGAAGAUAAUGACGGUACUCAACAAGGAAGUGACGGCUAACUACGUGCCAGCAGCCGCGGUAAAACGUAGGUCACAAGCGUUGUCCGGAAUUACUGGGUGUAAAGGGAGCGCAGGCGGGAGAACAAGUUGGAAGUGAAAUCCAUGGGCUCAACCCAUGAACUGCUUUCAAACUGUUUUUCUUGAGUAGUGCAGAGGUAGGCGGAAUUCCCGGUGUAGCGGUGGAAUGCGUAGAUAUCGGGAGGAACACCAGUGGCGGAGGCGGCCUACUGGGCACCAACUGACGCUGAGGCUCGAAAGUGUGGGUAGCAAACAGGAUUAGAUACCCUGGUAGUCCACACCGUAAACGAUGAUUACUAGGUGUUGGAGGAUUGACCCCUUCAGUGCCGCAGUUAACACAAUAAGUAAUCCACCUGGGGAGUACGACCGCAAGGUUGAAACUCAAAGGAAUUGACGGGGGCCCGCACAAGCAGUGGAGUAUGUGGUUUAAUUCGACGCAACGCGAAGAACCUUACCAAGUCUUGACAUCCCUUGACGAUGCUGGAAACAGUAUUUCUCUUCGGAGCAAGGAGACAGGUGGUGCAUGGUUGUCGUCAGCUCGUGUCGUGAGAUGUUGGGUUAAGUCCCGCAACGAGCGCAACCCUUAUGGUCAGUUACUACGCAAGAGGACUCUGGCCAGACUGCCGUUGACAAAACGGAGGAAGGUGGGGAUGACGUCAAAUCAUCAUGCCCUUUAUGACUUGGGCUACACACGUACUACAAUGGCGUUAAACAAAGAGAAGCAAGACCGCGAGGUGGAGCAAAACUCAGAAACAACGUCCCAGUUCGGACUGCAGGCUGCAACUCGCCUGCACGAAGUCGGAAUUGCUAGUAAUCGUGGAUCAGCAUGCCACGGUGAAUACGUUCCCGGGCCUU
rnacentral:rRNA from 1 species